rnacentral:tRNA from 1 species
GGCUAGAUAGCUCAGUCGGUAGAGCAGAGGACUGAAAAUCCUUGUGUCGGUGGUUCGAUUCCACCUCUGGCCACCA